UAUUUUCUCUCUCUAUUUUACCUCUUUCCAGCUUUGAUUCAACUCCGAUUCACCAUGUUUUCAUGGUAUCAGAGCCUGGAUAUUUCUCCCGGACAUAUUCUCUAUCUUCCCCGUCCUUUUGGUCUGAGUUCAUGGCGUUAUCGAUGGUGAUUUCUGGUUUUUUUUUUUCACGGUGAAGAUUCUGGAGUUUUCUUUGAUAUUUUGGUGAAAUCGGAGUUAUUUUGUUGACCGAUUCUUCCAACGAGGUAUUAGGUUGAUUUUUCCGACAUCUGUUAUACCUGAUUCCACCGGGUUUUCUGCAAGCUAGGGUUUCCUGACAACGAAGCUAGGUUUUUCUUCACAAGUUAAGGUUUCUCUGCAAUUUUUUGAAGGCCGUAUCUUCUCCGGUUGCGUAGAAGCCUGGUAACCCUAUUAUCCCUCUAGAUUAGGGCUUGCAUGUACCUUUGUUGCUGUAUAGUGUAGCUCAUAGUUAUUGUAUCUCUCUCUUUUCAUCCCUAUCAUCCUGUAUAUGUAUUGUGUUGCUCAUAGUUAUUGUAUCUCUCUCCUUUUCAUCCCUAUUAUCUUGUAUCAAAUGGCGGAUGUGAACCCUGUUAAUCCCCCACCUAUUGACCCUACAAAUCCCCUAUUUGUUUUCUCUUCUGAUGUCCCCAGAAUUUCUCUUGUUCCUAUCCCCUUUCGGGUAAUGGCUAUGGGGGUUGGAGGAGAAAGGUAAUAGUAGCCUUAUCUGCUAAGAACAAAAUUGCUUUUGUUGAUGGAACUUGUCCCAGACCAACCACUAAUCUGGCUGAACAGAGACUAUGGGACAGAUGCACUAACAUGGUCAUAUCCUGGUUGACUGCCUCUCUGUCCCCUCAAAUUGCUGAAAGUGUUCAAUACUCUAAGACUGCACAUAGUAUAUGGUCACAACUCGAAGCCAGAUAUGGCACAGUCAAUAGGACCAAAAUCUUUGAACUGAAACGUGAACUUUCUCAUUCUUCUCAAGGACCCCUAGAUAUAGCCUCCUAUUUCAACAAACUCAAAGGUUUAUGGGAUGAGUUAGGGACAAUGUGCCCAAAUCAUGGACAGAGAUGUACCUGUGAUGCCAGACCUGGGAUUAUAAAGGAGGAUGAGGAGAAUAAGGUAUUUCAAUUCCUCAUGGGUCUUAAUGAGACAUAUAUGGGAGUGAGGAGCAACUAGACAUAUAUGGGAGUGAGGAGCAACUUGUUAAUAAUGCAACCUCCUCCUAGUCUUGACAAUGUCUAUAAUAUUCUCCUCAAUGAUGAAAAACAGAGACAAGUUCGGGCUGUCUCCCAGUUCAAUCCUGAUUCCAUGUCCUUCAAUGUUAAUACACAUAAACCUUCCACACCUUCCUUCAAUCAUGUUCCCUUGCUCAACUCUCCUCCUCCCAGAACGUAUGCCCAGAGAGUUAGUUUUGAUAUGUCCAGAGGACCCCUUUUCUGUAGAUAUUGCAAGAAGUCUGGACACUUAAUUGAUAAGUGCUACAAACUUCAUGGUUUUCCUCAAAGUAUCAGGUUUAACAAAGGCAAGAGACCCACUGCUACUCAUGUCACUACUGGUGUUGACUUCACAUCCUCUCCUUAUUCUGCUGGUCAUAAUUCUCCUGCCUCUGGAAUUCAUACUGAGGGUUAUUCACCCGUCCAGCAUGUGGAUGGACAUAAUUCUGCUAUUCCUGGCUUGAGCAGACACCAUUAUGAUCAGUUGAUGAAUCUGCUCCAACAGUCCAAUUUGGGUGAAUCCACUGCUUAGACUUCCCCUACUCAGCCAUCCCCUACUAUGUGUGCUGCCAACUUUGCUGGUACUAUGCUUACUGAGAGUCUUGUUUCCAAUUCCAAACUCUGCUUGCUUACUCAUAUUGCUUCUGUUUCCUGGAUAAUAGAUUCUGGAGCUNNNNNNNNNNNNNNNNNNNNNNNNNNNNNNNNNNNNNNNNNNNNNNNNNNNNNNNNNNNNNNNNNNNNNNNNNNNNNNNNNNNNNNNNNNNNNNNNNNNNNNNNNNNNNNNNNNNNNNNNNNNNNNNNNNNNNNNNNNNNNNNNNNNNNNNNNNNNCUUAUCUUGUUACCCUUCCUAAUGGAUACAAAGUAAAAGUAACUUCAACUGGCUCUUUUGCUUUAACUCCUUCCAUUACUCUUCAUAAUGUACUGUUUGUCCCUUCUUUCAAACACAAUUUAAUUUCUGUCCACAAGUUGGUGAAACAGUUGCACUGUAUUGUUCUAUUUACUGCAACCUCUUGUUUCCUUCACAUGUUACAGGCCCCUUCUCUGAAUAUGCCUCUGGAUCUUGGUAAAGAGGAGGCUGGUUUGUACAAAUUUUCUUGGGUGCCCCCUUCAUCUUCUUCUGUUGCUUGCUCUUCUUUCAAUUCUGUAUGCUCUAAUAAAGAUUCUUGUAAUCUUAAUUGUUCUUCUGAUCCAAAUCUUGUUGCUUUAUCUUCCAAUGUAAACAGUUCUACUUGUCCUAAUAAAUUUGAUGGUAAUGACAUGAACUACAUUUGGCAUUUAAGACUGGCUCACAUUCCUUUUGCACUCAUGAAACACAUUUCUGCUUUAUCUUUCCCUUUUGCUCUAAACAGCCUUUUCCCUAUUCUAUUUGUCCCAUGGCUAGGCAAACUAGAUUACCUUUUCCUGGCAGUUCCAUCAGUACAUGUAGACCUUUCCAGCUUAUUCAUAUGGAUACUUGGGGCCCUUAUCACACCCCUACUUCUUCUGGUUGUAAAUAUUUCCUUACUAUAGUUGAUGAUUUCUCUAGAGCAACCUGGACACAUUUACUGGGGUCUAAAAGUAAUGCUUUCAGCCUACUUCUUCUGGUUGUAAGUAUUUCCUUACUAUAGUUGAUGAUUUCUCUAGAGCAACCUGGACACAUUUACUGGGGUCUAAAAGUAAUGCCUUCAGCCUUCUCAAGUCCUUUAUAUGCAUGGUCAAAACACAAUUUAAUGCCACUGUACAAACUGUCAGAAGUGAUAAUGCUUUUGAAUUAGGGUCUAGUCUUGCUGGUGUCUCUUUCUUUAAUCAACAAGGCAUCAUUCAUCAAACUACUUGUCCUCAUACUCCUCAAAAAAAUGGUGAUGUGGAAAGAAAAUAACCCUUCUUGAAGCAUGUAGAGCUUUACUUUUUCAAUCCAAUUUACCUAUUCCUUUUUGGGGGGGGACUGCCUAUUGACUGCCACCUACUUGCUUAAUAGGAUUCCCUCCAUACUUCUUCAUAAUAAGUCUCCUUAUGAAGUAUUGCAUGGACAAGCCCCUACUUAUUCUCAUUUAAAGGCCUUUGGCUGCCUUGCAUAUGCCACUGUACCCAUUCCACAAAGAGACAAACUUCAACCUAGAGCUUUGUCUUAUGCUUUACUGGGAUAUCCCUUUGCCAAAACGGGCUAUUGGCUGUAUGACUUAACUACUAAGAAGUAUUUUGUGUCCAGAGAUGUUGUAUUUCAUGAGACAUGUUUUCCUUUUCAUUCUGCUUCUUCUGUCCCUCCUCCUGCCUGUUUCUUCCCCUUCUGCUUCAUGCCCAGCUUCCCCUUCACUACCUUCCUCUCUUCCUUCUCCUUCUGUUCCUCUUCCUGUUAUUCCUUCUCCUUCUUUCCCUACUCCUCCUUCUGCUGUCCCUACUGGACACAGAAGAUCUGGCAGACCACAUAAUCCUCCAUCUUAUCUCAAUGACUAUGUUUGUCACUUACCUUCCUUUUCCGGUUCCACCUCCUCUUCUUCUCAUUUGGAGUCUGAACCCCUCUUUUAUUCUCAAGCUGCCUCUGUUCCAGCUUGGCAUGAUGCCAUGAGAAAGGAGUUUGAGGCUUUGGAUGCCAAUCAUACUUGGGAUAUUGUUCCACUUCCUUCUGGCAAAAAGCCCAUAAGAUGCAAAUGGGUCUAUAAGAUUAAAUAUAAAGCUGAUGGCACUAUUGAAAGAUACAAAGCUAAGCUUGUCAUUAGAGGAGAUAGUCAAAUUGAAGGUAUUAACUUCACUGAAACUUUCUCUCAUGUGGUCAAGAUGUCUACUGUUAAGUGUCUGAUUGCUGUGGCUGUUAAGAAACAUUGGGGUCUUUUCCAAUUUGAUGUCAAUAAUGCUUUCUUGCAUGGUGAUCUUGAUGGGGAGGUCUAUAUGAAGCUUCCCCCAGGUUUAUGUGUUUCUGUUCCUUCUGGCUCUUCUUCCUCUGCCCCUCUUGUAUGCAAAUUACAGAAGUCACUUUAUGGCCUGAGACCUGUUUCUAUCCCUUCUGGUUCUUCCUCCUCUGCCCCUCUUGUCUGCAAAUUACAGACGUCACUUUAUGGCCUGAGACAAGCUUCCAGGCAAUGGUAUGCAUCUCAGGCCCUCUAUUCCAGAGGUUAUGUUCAUUCUAUGAAUGAUUACUCUUUAUUUGUCAAGGGUCAACCUGGGUGUCUUGUGGUCCUGGCUGUGUAUGUAGAUGAUAUUAUUAUCACUGGGGAUGAUGUUGCUGAAAUUUGUGCCCUCAAGGCCUUCCUGGAUGCUCUAUCCAGAAUCAAAGACCUUGGGUCUUUGCACUAUUUUCUGGGUAUUGAGGUGUCCUCUGUUGCUGGUGAUGUACUUCUUAAUCAGCACAAAUUUAUUUCUGACUUGCUGCAUCAGGUUAACUGUAUGGAUGUUUCCCCUAUAGUCUGUCCUUUGGACCUCAAUACCAAAUUGCAUGCUGACUCUGGUGAUCUGUUCCCUUCUCCUGACCAUUACAGGAGCUUGAUUGGCAAGCU
rnacentral:lncRNA from 1 species